UACAGAGGGUGCAAGCGUUAAUCGGAAUUACUGGGCGUAAAGCGUGCGUAGACGGUUAUGUAAGUCAGAUGUGAAAGCCCCGGGCUCAACCUGGGAAUUGCAUUUGAGACUGCAUAGCUAGGGUGCGGAAGAGGGAAGCGGAAUUCCCGGUGUAGCGGUGAAAUGCGCAGAUAUCGGGAAGAACACCCGUGGCUAAGGCGGCUCUCUAGUACGGUACUGACGCUGAGACGCGAAAGCGUGGGGAGCGAACAGG
rnacentral:rRNA from 1 species